CUUGCUCUCACUCUCUCUUCCUCACUUCCCCUCACCCCCUUCCCUUUCAGAGGCGCCUCUGUCAAUAAAGGCCUCUCACAUGAGACCUGUGCUGUCUUGGCAUGAUCUGUCCAGGAGUGUGCCCGUCUCGUCUAACAGUCACAGAUCCAGAUCGGCCUCAUCCUGUCCAAGGCCAUUACUGGCCAUACUCUUCACAGCAGAGUGUUCCUCCCUGAUGAUCUGAGGGAGAAGUGAAUGGAUAUUUCAGGAUCUUUUGGCUGGGACAGAUCUCAAACUUGCUUCAAUAAGGCUUUCUUAUACAGAGCAAGAUGCCCUGACCAGGGCUUAGUGCUGCCUGGUGCUGCCUGGUGCCUGUGACCUUCUACAUAAGACAAUCAAGACAAUCUUUAUCCUGGCAUGCCCACAGACCAACCUGAUAAAGACAAUUCUUCAACUGAAA